rnacentral:tRNA from 3 species
GGCCUACUGGCCCAAUGGCAAGGCGUUUGACUUCGAAUCAAAAGAUUACAGGUUCGACCCCUGUGUAGGUCA